ensembl:lncRNA
CGAAGCUCUAAAUAAGUUCUAUACAAAUAACCCUAAUCCAGAAAACUCUCUAAAAUUAAAAACACCCUUGAAAGACCCUCGGAUUGAGGAGUCUCCACAAGUCGGACGGCCCCCCCCCCCAAAACUCAAUGUCCAGUCCAGCUGAUGUAAAAACAAGAGGUAAGUUUAUUGUGGGACAUUUGCACAAAUGGGCCUCCCAGUCCGACAGACAAAGGAAGCCCUGUUCCUCAAAAGCAGGCUUCUUUUAUAGGAGAAAACCAUAGGCUUUUAGGGGUUAGGGUACCUGACCAGAGUCACAGGUUCUUUGGAGGUCUCUUAUCUUUGGGGUGGUCUCCUGACUCAGUGGGAUAGUCUGUUCUUAUCUUCAUGACCCCAGGGCAGGGUGGCCCUCUGGGAAUUCUUGGUAUUUAGUUAGGUUGUCUUGUGGCCUUGUAAGGGAGUUAUCGCUGCCAGCUAGGAAAUUCCAGGGACUCGGGUCAUUGUGACCUUGGUUAGAUUUCUAAGUCAGGUCGCCCUGUUUUUAGUGUGGGAGGUUUUUUUCUAAGUCUCCUUAUUUUAUUUCUUUGUUAAUUUUCAAGUCCUUCACCCGAACCCCUAAAUUGGAGGUAACCAUUUCAGAACAUCUCAACCCAUCAGACAUCUAAAACCCCACACACUCCUACCUUCCAGGUCACUGUAAAUUUCAAGUAAAGGAGCCAUGAGAAUCUCUUUUGCUAUGCUACUACCUACGGCCUUACUCGAUUCUUUCCCCUAAGUCUUUCUAGGUAUUGGUGCUAGCAGACCAGGGGUUUAGGAACUAAAGCUUUUAUUGAUUUUACUUUAAGACAGGACCUCAAGCAGCUCAGGUCAUCUUCCAAUUCACAUUGUAGCCAUGGAUGACCUUGAAUUUCUGAUCCUCCUGCCCCUGCCUCCCAAGUGCUGGGAUUACUGGUGUGUACUGAGAUGGAGAAUUGGGGUGUUGUACGGGGACCAGGGCUAUGCUUAAGCUGUAAGAGCCGGGUUGACCCCCAUGGCCAACAUACAUUGUUUGACCUUGGAGUCUCUUCUUGUGCCUUUUAAGGUAGGAGAGCUUGCUGAACUAUUGGGGGGAUUAAAAGGGGUAGCCAGAUAUGCUACCACAGGCAUUUAAUCCCAGUACUUGGUAGGCAGAGGUAGGCAGAUCUCUGUGAGUUCAAGGUCAGCCUGGUCUACAGAAGAGUUCCAGGACAGCCAGGGCUACACAGAGAAACCAUGUCUGGGGGUGGGGUGGGGGGAGACAGCUAACCUUGAACAUACACAAACUCAGGAAGCACAGGCUUACUUUUCCUCGACAGUGUCAUAAACACAAAUGUUAUUUGCCCCAAAGGAGAGGCCAGGUGAGGAGUGAAGAAGAGGUUUCUGAGGCCCGUUGGCAGAAACAACUGAUGUUAGCCAUUCCACUCAGCACUGUGACUUUCCUAAGAUCCCUUCAUGCCUUUGCCAUUCUCCCAAACAGCAGUGAACUUGGCCUCAGAAAGAGUUCUUUCCCUCUAUGAAGUGACAGGCUAAACGGCAAGGCAUGAAAAAGGAUUAGUGGUUGCAUGUCUUCAAAUAAUGGUGAGGUCCCCAGAAGCACGCCAGGCUGAGAAGGCGUCCUUUGGAUGUCCGUCGGUGAAAAGGCUGGCCGCUAUGAGCAGCAUUUGGGGGCUCCUGGUAACAGAUGUCAGGUGUUGGCAGACAGGCUGCCAAAACCAAUCUUCCUUCACCCCCCAGAUACCGAACUGAUGGAGAGCUGGGCACAGUGGGCCUGGCAGCCCCUCUUGCUUGGAUCAUUGGUCGCAUUAUUAUUUCUUAAUGGCUGGAUAAAACAGAUGGUUUACCGUGUCAUCCUGAUUUUGUUGGUUUCAGGGUCCUACUCUUCCCUCAGGGUCCGGCAUGUGAUCAGUUUUGACAGUGAUGGUGCAAGAAGGUUCCUGCCAGUAAAGCCAAGUGCACCUAUUUUUUUAUGCUGGGAUAAACCACCGCCACCUCCAACUUCAAAACCCUGAAAAGAUCUAGCAGUGCAAAGGUGCUUGUCAAAAAUGCUUGCUCUGUCACAGAACCGCAGCGCUCUGGCUCCUGAAAACCCCACUCUGUACUUGAAUGCCAAUUGUCCAUCCUUUUUGCUGUUCGUUUUGGAGAGUGUCUUCCUCUGAACUCACUCACGUGGCUCACAUUGGUCUCCAACUUGAGAUCCCCCUGCCUCAGACUCUGGAACAACAGAGUUAUAGGUGUGUGUCACCGUGCCCAGCUUUGUCUUUUUUAUUUAGUCUUAGACUUACAGUCCUGUUUAUAUUCUGAUGAGUCCUUUAAUUUAACAGAUUGUUUUAUAAUUGGUAUAUGACAACUGCGCAUAAUGCCAGGUGUUGUGGUACACGCCUUUAAUCCCAGCACUCAGGAGGCAGAGGCAGGCAGAUCUCUGUAAGUUUGAGGCCAGCCUGGUCUACACAAUG